rnacentral:rRNA from 1 species
UACGUAGGGGGGCAAGCGUUGUCCGGAUUUAUUGGGCGUAAAGAGCGUGUAGGCGGCUUUACAGGUCCGUUGUGAAAACUCGAGGCUCAACCUCGAGACGCCGGUGGAAACCGUAAAGCUAGAGUCCGGAAGAGGAGAGUGGAAAUUCCUGGUGUAGCGGUGAAAUGCGCAGAUAUCAGGAGGAACACCCGUGGCGAAAGCGGCUCUCUGGGACGGUACUGACGCUGAGACGCGAAAGCGUGGGGAGCAAACAGG